rnacentral:lncRNA from 1 species
UGGCUAGGACUUCCAGAACUAUGUUGCAGAGUAGUGGCGAGAGCAGACAUCCUUGUCUUGUUCCUGAUCUCAGCAGGAAUUCUUUCAGCUUUUCACCAUUGAGAAUGAUGUUAGAUCUGGGUUUGUCAUAUAUGGUCUUUAUCAUGUUGAGGUAGGUUCUCAUUAUGCCCACUUUCUGAAGGGUUUUUAUCAGAAAUGGGUGUUGGAUUUUGUCAGAGGCUUUUUCUGCAUCUAUUGAGAGGAUCAUAUGGUUUUUAUUCUUCAGUUUGUUAAUGUGGUGUAUCACACUGAUGGAUUUGUGGAUAUUGAAGAACCCCUGCAUCCCUGGGAUAAAUCCCACUUGAUCAUGAGGUACAAUAUUUUAAUCUGUUGUUGUAUGCGGUUUGCUAGUAUUUUGUUGAGGAUUUUUGCAUCAAUGUUCAUCAGUGAAAUUGGCCUGUAGUUUUCUUUUUUUGUAGAAUCUUUGUCUCGUUUUGGUACCAGGGUGACAGUGGCAUCAUAGAAUGAGUUUGGGAGUGUCCCUUCCUCUGCAAUUUUUUGAAAAAGUUUCAUAAGGAGAGGUGUUAGCUCUUCUCUAAAUGUUUGAUAGAAAUCACCUGUGAAGCCAUCUGGUCCUGGGCUUUUGUUUGUUGGAAGUUUUUCAAUCACAGUUUCAAUUUCAGUUCUUGUGAUUGGUCCGUUCAUCUUUUCUAUUUCAUCUUGGUUUAGUCUUGGAAGAUUGCACCUUUUUAAGAAUUUGUCCAUUUCUUCUAGGUUUUCCACUUUAUUGGCGUAUAGUUGCAUAUAGUAGUCUCUUAUGAUCCUUUGUAUUUCUGUGGUGUCCAUUGUUACUUCUCCUUUUUCAUUUCUACUUGUAUUGAUUUGAGUCCUCUCUCUUUUUUUCUUGAUAAGUCUGGCUAAGGGUUUAUCAAUUUUGUUGAUCUUUUCAAAGAACCAGCUUUUUGUUUCAUUGAUUUUUUUCUAUGGUUUUCUUCAUUUCUAUUUCAUUGAUUUCUGCUCUGAUUUAUGAUUUCUUUCCU